rnacentral:rRNA from 1 species
AACGAACGCUGGCGGCAUGCCUAACACAUGCAAGUCGAACGAGACCUUCGGGUCUAGUGGCGCACGGGUGCGUAACGCGUGGGAAUCUGCCCUUGGGUUCGGAAUAACAGUUAGAAAUGACUGCUAAUACCGGAUGAUGUCUUCGGACCAAAGAUUUAUCGCCCAGGGAUGAGCCCGCGUAGGAUUAGCUAGUUGGUGGGGUAAAGGCCUACCAAGGCGACGAUCCUUAGCUGGUCUGAGAGGAUGAUCAGCCACACUGGGACUGAGACACGGCCCAGACUCCUACGGGAGGCAGCAGUGGGGAAUAUUGGACAAUGGGGGCAACCCUGAUCCAGCCAUGCCGCGUGAGUGAUGAAGGCCUUCGGGUUGUAAAGCUCUUUUGGCGGGGACGAUGAUGACGGUACCCGCAGAAUAAGCCCCGGCUAACUUCGUGCCAGCAGCCGCGGUAAU